rnacentral:tRNA from 1 species
GAGAAAGACAUAGUGGUUAUGAAAUUGGCUUGAAACCAGUCUUAGGGGGUUCGAAUCCUUCCUUUCUUA